CAGCAGCCGCGGGAAUACGUAGGUGGCAAGCGUUGUCCGGAAUUAUUGGGCGUAAAGGGCUCGCAGGCGGUUUCUUAAGUCUGAUGUGAAAGCCCCCGGCUCAACCGGGGAGGGUCAUUGGAAACUGGGAAACUUGAGUGCAGAAGAGGAGAGUGGAAUUCCACGUGUAGCGGUGAAAUGCGUAGAGAUGUGGAGGAGCACCAGUGGCGAAGGCGACUCUCUGGUCUGUAACUGACGCUGAGGAGCGAAAGCGUGGGGAGCGAACAGGAUUAGAUACCCGCGUAGUCCCUGUCUCUUAUAC
rnacentral:rRNA from 1 species